GAGGUUGUGGCUCAGUGGUAAAGCACUCACGUAGCACAUGUGAGGCCCUGGGUUCGAUCCUCAGCACCACA
rnacentral:tRNA from 1 species